AUUGAACGCUGGCGGCAGGCCUAACACAUGCAAGUCGAGCGGAGCGGCGGACGGGUGAGUAAUGACUAGGAAUCUGCCUGGUAGUGGGGGAUAACGUCCGGAAACGGGCGCUAAUACCGCAUACUAUCAGAUGAGACUAGGUGGGAUUGGCUAGUUGGUGGGGUAAAUGCCUACCAAGGCGACGCUGCCUAACUGGUCUGAGAGGUGGAUCAGUCAAACGGGAACGUAGACACGGUCCAGAUUCCUACGGUAGGAAGCAGUGGGGAAUUUUGGAUAAUGGGCGAAAGCCUGCUCCAGCCAUGCCGGGUGUGUGAAGAAGGUUUUCGGAUUUUAAAGCACUUUAAGCUGGGAGGCGUUACCAACAGAAUAAGCACCGGCUAACUUCGUGCCAGCCGCCGCGGUAAUAC
rnacentral:rRNA from 1 species